GAAGCCAAGCUUGCUUGGUGGAUCAGUGGCGAACGGGUGAGUAACACGUGAGCAACCUGCCCUGGACUCUGGGAUAAGCGCUGGAAACGGUGUCUAAUACUGGAUAUGAGCUCUCAUCGCAUGGUGGGGGUUGGAAAGAUUUUUCGGUCUGGGAUGGGCUCGCGGCCUAUCAGCUUGUUGGUGAGGUAAUGGCUCACCAAGGCGUCGACGGGUAGCCGGCCUGAGAGGGUGACCGGCCACACUGGGACUGAGACACGGCCCAGACUCCUACGGGAGGCAGCAGUGGGGAAUAUUGCACAAUGGGCGGAAGCCUGAUGCAGCAACGCCGCGUGAGGGAUGACGGCCUUCGGGUUGUAAACCUCUUUUAGCAGGGAAGAAGCGAGAGUGACGGUACCUGCAGAAAAAGCGCCGGCUAACUACGUGCCAGCAGCCGCGGUAAUACGUAGGGCGCAAGCGUUAUCCGGAAUUAUUGGGCGUAAAGAGCUCGUAGGCGGUUUGUCGCGUCUGCUGUGAAAUCCCGAGGCUCAACCUCGGGCCUGCAGUGGGUACGGGCAGACUAGAGUGCGGUAGGGGAGAUUGGAAUUCCUGGUGUAGCGGUGGAAUGCGCAGAUAUCAGGAGGAACACCGAUGGCGAAGGCAGAUCUCUGGGCCGUAACUGACGCUGAGGAGCGAAAGGGUGGGGAGCAAACAGGCUUAGAUACCCUGGUAGUCCACCCCGUAAACGUUGGGAACUAGUUGUGGGGACCAUU
rnacentral:rRNA from 1 species